CUCCUGGUAGUUUCCAGGUAACCCCUGCCCGGUGAAUAGUUUAAAUGGCCGCAGUACUUUGACUGUGCAAAGGUAGCAUAAUCACUUGUCCUUUAAUUAAGGGCUGGAAUGAAAGGGGCGACGAGAUCUAGACUAUUGGUGAAAGUGURUAAUUUGACAUAAAGGUCAAAAGGCCCUUAUAGGUCAAGGGGACGAUAAGACCCUAUAAAACUUUACCUUUAAACAGGUCUUGUUAGAUUGGGUUWAAAUAAAAGGUUUAACUGGGGCGGUAUUGAUAAAAACAAUUAAAUAAAGAAUAUUUUAAAUAACUUUUAAGAACUCUUUAAAGAAAUAGAACAAGUUACUUUAGGGAUAACAGCAUAAUUCUCUCAGAGAGUACUAAUUGGCGAGAGAGCUUAUGACCUCGAUGUUGAAUUGGAG
rnacentral:rRNA from 1 species